rnacentral:lncRNA from 1 species
UGUUGUCCCCUCUGACUCUCUCUGCAGAGAGUGUAGCAGCUCCGCACGUCACCCCUUGGGGGUCAGAAGAGCUGAAGUCAAAGACAGAAAUUAGCCUGUGUUACACAUUGGGGAGAGAGUUCCUAGUGAUUGUAGCCAGUAAGGCAGCUCUCCAAAGACCUGGGAAAAAAUUACUUCAUGUCCUUGUAAAAACGUUUUCACAAAUUUAAGUGCACCAGCUUUGAAGCAAGACAGAAUUGGGAUCAAGUCCCUGUUCCACCCUUACCAGUUCCCAUAUGGCCACGAGGGGAGAUGCCAGAAAAACCAGGGAAAACCAAGAGAUGACCAACUGCUGGUGACACAUCUAUAA